AUACUUACCUGGCAGGGGAGAUACCAUGAUCACGAAGGUGGUUUUCCCAGGGCGAGGCUUAUCCAUUGCACUCCGGAUGUGCUGACCUCUGCGAUUUCCCCAAAUGUGGGAAACUCGACUGCAUAAUUUGUGGUAGUGGGGGACCGUGUUUGCGCUCUCCCCUA
ensembl:snRNA U1 U1 spliceosomal RNA